rnacentral:rRNA from 1 species
GACGAACGCUGGCGGCGUGCUUAACACAUGCAAGUCGAACGGAAAGGCCUCUUUCGUGCGUUACUCGAGUGACGAACGGGUGAGUAACUCGUGAGUAACCUGCCCUUGUCUUUGGGUUAACUAACUUCAACAGGGGCUAAUUCCUGCCAGGUGAUCCUUCUGCCUGGUUGGGUUUGGAGAGUUUCGGCGUGUGGGGGUGGACUCGCGGGUUAUCCGCUUGUUGUUGGGGUAUUGGCUUACCAAGGCUUUGACGGGUAGCCGGCCAGAGGGGGUGAGCGGCGACACUGGGACUGAGAGACGGCCCAGACUCCGACGGGAGGCAGCAGGGGGGAAUAUUGCACAAGGGGUGGAAGCCGGAUGCAGAAACGCCGUGGGCGGGAAGACGGUCUUAGGGUUGUAAAACGCUUUUGCUCAUGACGAAGCUUUGUGUGACGGUAGUGGGUAAAGAAGCACCGGCUAACUACGUG